rnacentral:rRNA from 1 species
AUGAGUGCUUUGGUUGACGAUUUGGAUUGUCGAGUAAUAGUUGAGUGCUAUUUAUGUCUAGUUCAGGAGAGGCAAACAGGGAAGAGGCUUGGGACUGGAACUAGGCGUAAUGGGCUAUGGUACAUGGAUCAAGAGGUGCCAAACAAUACGGUGUAUGUGAUGUUAGCAACAAUGAUGGGAGAAAAGGAAACAAAGGCAAUGCUUCAUCAUUGUAGAAUGGGGCAUAUGUCUUUUGAGAAGAUGAGUAAAGUCUUUCCCGAUGUAAUGUGUGGUGUGGAUAAGAACAAGUUUGUGUGGUGA